AUGAUUUAAGCUGCGCUAGUGCAGAAAGUAUUUACGUUAGCUCGAACGUUAGCAUCUAGCUAGCUGAUGGGCAAACCAAACCACAGUGAAUUCAGGACAGGCAGAAAGAAUCACCACAAAACAUCACAGAAGGUCUGGAUUCGUCUCUACAAAUGCAAGAAAAUAGUUACAUAUUGGCAGUCGUGGAACCAGGUUUGAAAGAAGCCAGAGCAGGCGAGGAAGUCCCAGCAGAGAGAGUGAACACUGUCGCUGUCUCCCAGGUUGAGGGACGCAAGGGACAAGCUGGAGACUGAAAAGACACGUUGGCGUGAACCUAAAUAUGUGUCAACAUACCGAGCCUCCUCCUUCUUCUGCUCCAGCUCAGCCUCCAGCUGCAUCUUCUUCUGCUGCGUCUCCUUCUCCCUCCUCAUCCUUUUCUCCAACAGCGCAGCCCUCUUCUGAGCCAUGUUCUCCUCUGCCUUUCCAUCCUCCUGAGUCGCAAAGUGAACAUAGUCAGCCAACUCCCACUGUUUGAGCCUACCUUGAAGAAGAAACCAUGACACAUUUUCUGUUCGUAAUCUGAGCUGUCCACGUUAUCCUGCUGCGUCUCCAAACCAUCAUCAAGUGUCAGAUCCUCCAGCGGCUUCACGACUGACAGAGGAACCUCAAUCAAGCUGCUCUUGGCCUCGCCUGAGUCUUCUGGCUGUGAAGGAAUCUCUGUAGGUGUCACCGUGAAGGUCUCCACCACAGGGUGUGCCAGAACCUCAGGAAAUGAAGACUGACAUAUGAACAGGACUGCAGUAUUACGAACCGUUUCUCUUUGGGCCAAGUGCCGAGGUUGCCAUCGACGAAGGACAUUGAGGUUGACCUCUUGAUCUCUCCUGGAUGACACAAACACAACCACUUCCACUUUCUACACCUGAGACUACAGUUCCCUUUGCUGCCAUGAAUACUGUCAUGAGGUCUGAAUUGAAGACUUGCCUGUGUUUUCGAUGUCCAGCAAUCUUGGUUUCACAAAUGACGGCUUGACCACCUCAAACCACCAAAAAAGCUCUGCCAUGAACACCAGAGUAUCCCCUUAAGAAAUAGAUGCUUCAUAGUUCAACCUCCAGUGGAGCCAUUUACAAUUGGAUCCACAAUCAUCAUCCUUUUCAGCAAGGAAUUUAAAAAAAAAAAAUGUGACACUGAAGUAAAAUAAAGAUGACUUAUUAAGAAUCA